UUGGUAUCCUAGUGAGUGACGCUCGAAUCAGUUUUGUUCUUUUAUUUUCAUUUUGGGGCUGCCAUUUAUUUCCCUCAUGCAAAGCUCUGCUACAAAAGUGUAUCAGAAUCGCCUCAACUCCAAAGAGAAGAUAAAGAGAAGCUUCAAAAGGAAAAGACCACCACAGGCAUAUCCCCUCCUCCUCCUCCUCCUCCUCCUCCUCAAGCACCACCACCGGAUCCCCAUAUAAGAAUUACCUCCACACACUCUCCCCCUCCCCCCCCCCCACCUCUCAACCCACCACCACCACACCUUUCUUCCGUUUCCUCCGCCACCUGUUUGCUCCGAGGACAGGAAAGGGAGUGGAGGAGGAGGAACAAGUGAAGCAGGAAUACAAGAAAGAGAAGAGGAUGCGCAGUGGUAGGUCCAUGAGGGCCUUCCUCACUGGCCUCGCAUGCCUCUUGUGUCUCGGCCUCUUCAUCUCUGUCUCCGUAGUCGGUAGAGGAGCAAAUGCUACACCGCCGCCACCAAUACCAGUGACUGCUGCUGUCGUGGCUUCGUCAAGAGGUAAUAGGCCAACAGGGGACAGCAGCUUCGACCCUUUCCAUGCUAGUAAAAGAAGGGUGCCCAAUGGCCCUGAUCCCAUUCACAACAGGAGAGCAGGGAGGUUCGGGCGGCCGCCUGUGCGAGCGUAGCGGAGCGAGCGAGCGAGCGAGAGAGACAGAGAGAGGAGGAGUUCAGCUUGGGCGGUGGAUUAUUCUCAGCUUGCAUGUAACCACGAAAUGGGCCAUCUUUAAACACUCCUAAGACAUUAGCCGUAAUAUCCACGCUUUGCCAAAGUGCUCUGCUUUAUGAAUUGUUCUUGGUGGUGGUGGGGGAGUGUGUAAAGAGCGAGUCCCAUUCCCGUCUUCCCUCGCAAUUCAAACAUUCUUCUUCGGCAGCAGUGGAUUAUCUACCAUGGAAAGAUGAGGAGGAGAUGGAACAGAGACCGAUAAAUGUUGUUGGAGUUGUGUGAAAACUAAGCCACAUCCUUGUCAUGUAUUGGUUUCUUUUGUCAUUGUUGCACUGUAAGUAAAGCAAUCCGACCAGUUAAAGACACUUUAAUCUCUCA